GGGGCAGACCGCCUUAUCGCUCUAUGUUAUAGAGAGGAAAGUCCGGACACCACAGAGUAGCAUAGCGGGUAACGCCCGUCAUUCCGAUACAUCGGAAGAGGACAAGUGCAACAGAAAGAAUGUACAGGUAAGGCUGUAGUGAAACCAGGUAAACUCUAUGCGGUGAAAUGCCAUGUAUACCAGCAGGUAAGAGCUACUCGUUCGUUGCUGAGGGGUAGGCAGCUAGAUCUCGAUAGUAAUAUCGCGACCAGAUAAAUGAUAAGGGUCUCGUUCACAAAACGGGAUACAGAAUCCGGCUUACAGGUCUGCUUUUUUU
rnacentral:RNase_P_RNA from 1 species